GUUCAGGAAAAUAGAUCUGGGGGCACAAAGACUGGUUGCCUCCAGGACCUUCCUAUGUGGACAGAGUUGUGCUAUUGACUACUCUGAAGCCGGCAGUUGGAAUUAAGUUGGAAACUGUGUUGCAAAAGCAUGCUUUAUAUCCUGACUUUGAGUCCUGCUCAAAGUCAAAACAACAGGGGUUUGUUUAAGGAGAGCAGUUAUUUGGGAGGGCACAUCUGUCUGGGACCAAGACGCUGUGUGUGGGAGGACUUCUGAUAGAGAUGAGAUGCACAGAUACUGUAUAAACGUUAGGAGGUUGGGAUGAAGUCUUUUUCAAAGGUAGGCACUCCUGUAUAGCCAACAGCCUGCUAGUUUCCUUCGGAUUUUGUCGUGCUCCUUUUGUUACAAGGAUUCAGGACUUUGCUUCCACUCUGAAAAGUUGAAACCCUCUGCCUUUGAAGCUGACCCAUGCCCUCCCUCCCUAACACAGAAUUUGUACCCUGGGCUAAUAGAAAUAGGGUGUAUUUGACCUGGUAAAUUGAUGGGAGAAAAUGCAAGGAGAUCUUUGUGUGGCACAUUGAUCUCAAACCACCAGACUGCAAAGCCUAUGGUCUCCCUUAAAAUAUCCCACACCACCAAAAUAACCAAAUAAUGGGGCAGGGGAAGACUUUUAAUAGGAUGUCUUUUAAAAGGCUCUUCAAAGGGAGUUGUGUGUGUGUGAGAGAGGAUAUUGUGUAUCUUCACUGCCCUCAUUACUUACUCGCUUGUAAAUAUACUGUGUACUCACUCUGUCUGCUGCAAAAAUGAAUGAAAUGGAUACAGCCCUGUUCGGUUUUUGUUGUGGAGCGACACUCAUCAUGCAAUAAACAUAAUUGAUCUGAGUAGGUGGUUACAUGUAGGUCGCUCUGAAAGUAAUGCUUCCUAUUUAUUCCUGUGGAAACUAUAACAGAUACAAAGAGCACGGUAGCACUCAACAACAUGCAAUGGGAUAUUGGGAAGGUUCAGCCUGCACUGCCAUUCCACCAACAUCCGCCUGUGAUAUCAUGGGAC
ensembl:lncRNA